rnacentral:rRNA from 1 species
CUUUCCCGAUUAUUGGGCGUAAGCGCGUCUAGGUGGUUAUAUAAGUCUGAUGUGAAAAUGCGGGCUCAACUCUGUAUUGCGUUGGAAACUGUAUAACUAGAGUACUGGAGAGGUAAGCGGAACUACAAGUGUAAAGGUGAAAUUCCUAAAUUUUUGUAGGAAUGCCCAUGGGGAAGCCAGCUUACUGGACAGAUACUGACGCUUAAGCGCGAAAGCGUGGGUAACAAACAGGAUUAAAUACCCUGGUAGUCCACGCUGUAAACGAUGAUUACUAGGUGUUGGGGGUCGAACCUCAGCGCCCAAGCAAACGCGAUAAGUAAUCCGCCUGGGGAGUACGUACGCAAGUAUGAAACUCAAAGAAAUUGACGGG